rnacentral:rRNA from 1 species
GAACGGUAGCACAGAGAGCUUGCUCUUGGGUGACGAGUGGCGGACGGGUGAGUAAUGUCUGGGAAACUGCCCGAUGGAGGGGGAUAACUACUGGAAACGGUAGCUAAUACCGCAUAACGUCUUCGGACCAAAGUGGGGGACCUUCGGGCCUCACACCAUCGGAUGUGCCCAGAUGGGAUUAGCUAGUAGGUGGGGUAACGGCUCACCUAGGCGACGAUCCCUAGCUGGUCUGAGAGGAUGACCAGCCACACUGGAACUGAGACACGGUCCAGACUCCUACAGGAGGCAGCAGUGGGGAAUAUUGCACAAUGGGCGCAAGCCUGAUGCAGCCAUGCCGCGUGUAUGAAGAAGGCCUUCGGGUUGUAAAGUACUUUCAGUGGGGAGGAAGGCGAUGGAGUUAAUAGCUUCGUCGAUUGACGUUACCCGCAGAAGAAGCACCGGCUAACUCCGUG